rnacentral:rRNA from 1 species
UACAGAGGUCUCAAGCGUUGUUCGGAUUCAUUGGGCGUAAAGGGUGCGUAGGCGGCGCGGUAAGUCGGGUGUGAAAUCUCGGAGCUUAACUUCGAAACUGCAUUCGAUACUGCCGUGCUUGAGGACUGGAGAGGAGACUGGAAUUUACGGUGUAGCGGUGAAAUGCGUAGAUAUCGGGAGGAACACCAGAGGCGAAGGCGGCUUUCUGGCUGCUAACUGA